rnacentral:sRNA from 1 species
GUAUCUUUCAUCGUCCUGAGGACAUUAUAAUCGAAGGAAAUAAAAA